GUGAUUAAUUGAAAUAAAAAUAUGUCUUCUACUCAGGUUUCAGCAGCUGCAACUUCACCACCGAAACCUAUUCGUCCCAUUGCUAAUUUCCAUCCCACGAUAUGGGGAGACCAAUUCCUCAAAGAUGAUUCUGAAUUUAAGAAAAUUGAUCCUACAACUCAAGAAGAAUAUGAGAAACUGAAAGAAGAGGUAAAGAGGAUGAUAAUGGAUACUACAGAUGCACCAGUACAGAAAUUGAACUUGAUUGAUACAUUACAAAAGUUAUGUGUGGCUUAUAACUUUGAAGAAGAGAUAGAAGAUGCUUUGCAAAAAAAUUUAUAAUGAUUGUGACAUUGAUCAUUAUAAUGAUCUCCACACUGUUUCAGUGUAUUUUCGACUUCUUCGACAACAAGGAAUUAAGGUUUCCUGUGAUGUAUUUGAAAAGUUUAAAGAUGUUGAUAGGAAAUUCAAGUCAUCCUUAAUUAAUGAUGUUCA